GGUCCACAGGGUUACCCUGGAUGUAAUGAGACAAAGAGACAAAAGGUAACCCUGGAGUUGAUGGACUGCCAGGAAAUCGGGGGCCUCAGGGUGUAUCAGGUUUACCCGGACCCAAGGGAAAUCCUGGAGAUGGAUUUU